UACGUAGGGGGCAAGCGUUAUCCGGAUUUACUGGGUGUAAAGGGAGCGUAGGCCGGUCUUUAAGCGUGCCGUGAAAUUUUGUGGCUCAACCAUGAGAGUGCGGCGCGAACUGGAGACCUUGAGUGCGCGGAAGGCAGGCGGAAUUCGUGGUGUAGCGGUGAAAUGCUUAGAUAUCACGAAGAACUCCGAUUGCGAAGGCAGCUCACUAGACUGCAACUGACACUGAUACUCGAAAGUGUGGGUAUCAAACAGG
rnacentral:rRNA from 1 species